UUUGUGUUUGUGGGAGUAGGACACAGGAAAGGAAGGACAAUUUGAAGGAAAAAAAAUAUAGGAUUCAAGGAAGAAACGAAGGAAGCCAGGAGUGAAAGAAAAUAAAAGAAACAACCCGAGUGAGGACAUCAGGGAGGGACGAAGGACAGAAGGACGUGAGGACAUUGGAGCAGGAAACUCGUCCUGUGAAGGAAGCGUGCUUCAUUUUUCAGGAGGCGGCUGAAGCGAUGUGCAGCCAUGGAUGAGCUGAUGUGAACCCGCUCACUCCUUCCCCACCGCGAAGGAGGAAGAAGAAACUAAAUAUGUCAUGAGCUGCGAGAAGAUUCACAAAACAUCCGCAAACACACACGCACGCGCACACACACACACACACACACACACACACACGCACGCACACACGCACACAUACAGAUAAACUGGAGAGAUAAUUGGAGCCGAUGCACAGCUGGGAGACAAAGGCUGCCGUCAUGAGAACAAGGACCGCCUGAUGAGGCCGCCAUCUUUAAACCCUCAGGAUGAGGCGAGAGCGCCGGUCGAUGAGACGCUGCAGGAGGCGAUGUUCGAUUUCAUCAUUAAUGCUCCUGACAAGAGUGUUAAGGCGAGGCUACGACGAAAAUGACCAGAUUACGAGAAUAAAGUAGGAGGAAUACAAGAAUAAAGUCGUAUUACAAGAAUUUUGUUGAAAUAUAACAAAAAAUAAGAGAAUAAAGUCGCAUUACGAAAGUAAAAUUAUAAUAUGAGAAUAAAGCCGAACGAAAAUAAAAUCAAAAUGAUGCAAGUCAUAAUAUCACGAGAAACUAGAAACGUUGUGCAAAAAGUAAAAUACGAAAUAAGUCAAAUUACGAGAGUUAAGUCGUACAAAAAUAAAAUCAAAAAGACAACAAAUUAAUAUCAUUACAUUAUAUUUGAAAUAUUAACAUUCAACAACUUGUUUAGAGAAGCUUGUCAACUAAUAAGCAAUUUCUCCUUAUUAGAAGAUCAAUAAGGAAUAUUCUGCUCUAUUACAGGAAUAAAAUAGAAAUUGUGCCAGAAUAAUGUUGCAAUAUCAUAAACAAGUUAUUUCAAACAUGUAAAAAUAUAUUUUUUGUGUUUUCAGUAAAAACACUCAAGUUUUAUAGCAAACAAAAGGCAAAAUGUCUCAGCAUUUAUUUACCAAAACCUCCAUAAAUUUGCUUCAGUUUCCAUCUUUACCCAGAUAAUCUCCACAAGCGAAUCUAUGGCUUCUAAAAGUUUGCAGCCUUAUUUUUUAUCUUUCUGAACAAUUUAAAUGCUGUUUGAUGCAAGAGAGACAAAAAAUAUCCAGAUUAUUUCCUGUUUUAUCCUGAUUUUCUCUGAAGCAGCUGCUGCGAUCCUGAGGGUUUACUGAAGCAGAGUUUGUAAUCACUGAGGGAAACUAAAUUAGAUUUAUCUUAAACACAAACUUCAGGUUGGAUGAGGCAGAGAGGAGACAUAAAAGCAGCCAGAUUACAGAUUAAAAUCAGAAAUUCAUUCUUGGUGUCGAUCGGAUCAGGCCGAUGUCGGCUGAGUCACCGGUUUGAAGGCGGAUCUCCUCCGCUGGGAGUGGAAAACAGGAAUGAGAGGGGAGUAUCAGGGAGCUGGGAUUAGUAGCUUUCUCCUGGCAAAUCCAUGAGCCGCCUGCGCUUCUUGUUGCUAAGAGGAUUCAGAAGAACGACCCAACGACGGGAGCGACGCUUUGGGCUCUAAUCUACUGAUUCAGGAGGCGGAGAGGCCGAUUCUGCGCUGCUGCAGAACAAGCCAAGACCAGGAACAGGAACCCUAAACAUGGAGGACAGGGGCGCUCCGAUCGCAGAUUACCGAUCUGAAAAAACCCCACCUGCCAAUGUUACGACUUCUCAGGAAUAAACUCAAGAAAUUAUGAGAAUAAAACUCGUGUUUAAAGUCAUAAACUUAUGAGAAUAAAGUCAUAAAACUGUUGCCAUUGAUGCACCAAAGCAUAACCUCUGACCUUUUGUAAGAUUGUAUUAAA